rnacentral:rRNA from 1 species
GACGAACGCUGGCGGCGUGCUUAACACAUGCAAGUCGAACGGAAAGGCCCUGCUUUUGUGGGGUGCUCGAGUGGCGAACGGGUGAGUAACACGUGAGUUACCUGCCCUUGACUUUGGGAUAACUUCAGGAAACUGGGGUUAAUACCGGAUAGGCGCUCCUGCUGCAUGGUGGGGGUUGGAAAGUUUCGGCGGUUGGGGAUGGACUCGCGGCUUAUCAGCUUGUUGGUGGGGUAGUGGCUUACCAAGGCUUUGACGGGUAGCCGGCCUGAGAGGGUGACCGGCCACAUUGGGACUGAGAUACGGCCCAGACUCCUACGGGAGGCAGCAGUGGGGAAUAUUGCACAAUGGGCGGAAGCCUGAUGCAGCAACGCCGCGUGCGGGAUGACGGCCUUCGGGUUGUAAACCGCUUUCGCCUGUGACGAAGCGUGAGUGACGGUAAUGGGUAAAGAAGCACCGGCUAACUACGUG